rnacentral:siRNA from 1 species
ACUAUAUCCACCAGGCUUUCAUC